rnacentral:rRNA from 1 species
AGUUUGAUCAUGGCUCAGAGCGAACGUUGCGGCGGGCCUAACACAUGCAAGUCGAACGCACUAGCAAUAGUGAGUGGCGCACGGGUGCGUAACACGUGGGUAAUCAACCCUUCAGCUUGGGAUAACGACUUGAAAGGGUCGCUAAUACCGGAUACGGCGCGGGAGGCUUCGGCUUCUCACGAGAAAGCCUCGCAAGGGGCACUGAAGGACGAGCCUGCGGCCCAUCAGCUAGUUGGUGAGGUAAGAGCUCACCAAGGCGAAGACGGGUAGCUGGUCUGAGAGGAUGAUCAGCCACACUGGAACUGAGACACGGUCCAGACUCCUACGGGAGGCAGCAGUGGGGAAUAUUGCGCAAUGGGCGAAAGCCUGACGCAGCCACGCCGCGUGAGCGAUGAAGGCCUUCGGGUCGUAAAGCUCUGUGGGGAGAGACGAAGAAAGCCCGUGAAGAGCGGGCCUUGACGGUAUCUCCUUAGCAAGCACCGGCUAACUCCGUG